rnacentral:rRNA from 1 species
ACGCUGAAGAGAGGAGCUUGCUCUUCUUGGAUGAGUUGCGAACGGGUGAGUAACGCGUAGGUAACCUGCCUGAUAGCGGGGGAUAACUAUUGGAAACGAUAGCUAAUACCGCAUAACAAUUUUUGUUGCAUGACAAGAAUUUGAAAGGUGCAAUUGCACCGCUAUCAGAUGGACCUGCGUUGUAUUAGCUAGUUGGUGGGGUAACGGCUCACCAAGGCGACGAUACAUAGCCGACCUGAGAGGGUGAUCGGCCACACUGGGACUGAGACACGGCCCAGACUCCUACGGGAGGCAGCAGUAGGGAAUCUUCGGCAAUGGGGGCAACCCUGACCGAGCAACGCCGCGUGAGUGAAGAAGGUUUUCGGAUCGUAAAGCUCUGUUGUAAGAGAAGAACGGAUGUGAGAGUGGAAAGUUCACAUCGUGACGGUAACUUACCAGAAAGGGACGGCUAACUACGUGCCAGCAGCCGCGGUAAUACGUAGGUCCCGAGCGUUAUCCGGAUUUAUUGGGCGUAAAGCGAGCGCAGGCGGUUAGAUAAGUCUGAAGUUAAAGGCUGUGGCUUAACCAUAGUACGCUUUGGAAACUGUUUGACUUGAGUGCAAGAGGGGAGAGUGGAAUUCCAUGUGUAGCGGUGAAAUGCGUAGAUAUAUGGAGGAACACCUGUGGCGAAAGCGGCUCUCUGGCUUGUAACUGACGCUGAGGCUCGAAAGCGUGGGUAGCGAACAGGAUUAGAUACCCUGGUAGUCCACGCCGUAAACGAUGAGUGCUAGGUGUUAGGCCCUUUCCGGGGCUUAGUGCCGCAGCUAACGCAUUAAGCACUCCGCCUGGGGAGUACGACCGCAAGGUUGAAACUCAAAGGAAUUGACGGGGGCCCGCACAAGCGGUGGAGCAUGUGGUUUAAUUC